UACGGGGGGAGCAAGCGUUGUUCGGAUUUACUGGGCGUAAAGGGCGCGUAGGCGGUCAGCACAAGUCAGUUGUGAAAUCUCCGGGCUUAACUCGGAAAGGUCAACUGAUACUGUGCGACUAGAGUGCGGAAGGGGCAACUGGAAUUCUUGGUGUAGCGUUGAAAUGCGUAGAUAUCAAGAGGAACACCUGCGGCGAAGGCGGGUUGCUGGGCCGACACUGACGCUGAGGCGCGAAAGCCAGGGGAGCGAACAGG
rnacentral:rRNA from 1 species